AUCCUUUGGUUCAUGAGUGUGAUGACUGGGUGUUCAUGCCUUACGCAUGACAUGUGCCUCCCUCAAACCUUGUUACGUAGCAAGCGCAAGGGUCUGAAU